AUUGAACGCUGGCGGCAGGCCUAACACAUGCAAGUCGAGCGGAUGAAGGGAGCUUGCUCCUGGAUUCAGCGGCGGACGGGUGAGUAAUGCCUAGGAAUCUGCCUGGUAGUGGGGGAUAACGUCCGGAGACGGGCGCUAAUACCGCAUACGUCCUGAGGGAGAAAGUGGGGGAUCUUCGGACCUCACGCUAUCAGAUGAGCCUAGGUCGGAGUAGCUAGUUGGUGGGGUAAAGGCCUACCAAGGCGACGAUCCGUAACUGGUCUGAGAGGAUGAUCGGUCACACUGGAGCUGAGACACGGUCCAGACUCCUACGGGAGGCAGCAGUGGGGAAUAUUGGACAAUGGGCGAGAGCCUGAUCCAGCCAUGCCGCGUGUGUGAAGAAGGUCUUCGGAUUGUAAAGCACUUUAAGUUGGGAGGAAGGGCAGUAAGUUAAUACCUUGCUGUUUUGACGUUACCAACAGAAUAAGCACCGGCUAACUUCGUG
rnacentral:rRNA from 1 species